rnacentral:lncRNA from 1 species
UUAAGAACUUGUACGGUUUAUACAAAAAAGAAGAUUUAGUAUGAUUCUAAAUGAGACAAUUAUUCACAAGAGACGAAAUGACACAUUAAUUAACAGCUAUAGGUCACCGCACGGCCUUCAACAGUGAGCAAAGCCUGUACAUCAUAAUCAGCUAUAAAAGGACCCGAACUCUCAAAUGUAAAACAAUUCAAACGAGAAAACUAACGACCUAAUUAAUGUACAAAAAAAUGAACGAAAAACAGUAUGUAACAUAGCAACAAACGACAACAACUGAAUUACAGACUCCUGACUUUGGACAGGCAACUAAAUACAGAAUGUUGCUGGGUUAAACAUGUUAGUGGGAUCCCAAUCCUCCUCAUAACCGGGGACAGUGGUGAAACAGUACAGAAUAAGAAUGAACACUAUAAUCAGUUCAUAAAGGGUUAACACGUCAG